AAACAGUUUGAUGUGUUUGUUCUUGUGCUUAAGAUAUGGAACCUUCCAGUGACAAUGAAUGUGUGACUGACAGUAAAAAGCGCAAGAAAGGGUGUCGAAAUACAUUUAGAUAUAAGUCUGAACAGAUAAAAAGAGCACGUGUAAAGUGUGAAGCAUAUACUAGUUGGAGUGGAAAAGAAAUCCCUGCAAAAAACAGGGUGAAAAUUGCAAAUGCAGACGAAAAUGUUUCUCGGUUGUAUCUCCACCACAACAAGAAGAAGUCUUUAACAAAUUUACAAGUUUAGAUACCAAAAAUGAACAGGAUUGUUACCUCCAGAGUCUUAUUUCCACGAAAAAGGUGAUGCGACGUAGACAUCGCAUUUCAAAGGAAGCUUCUUCAAAACCAUUAAGAGGAUGUACAUAUGUAUAUGAGAUAUCAACGAGUUCAGGAAAACAUCAAGUAUGUAAAACAGCUUUUUGUAACAUACAUGCUAUCUCGGAGGAACGUGUUCGUAGAUUCUGUAAGUUGCUCUCUGAAGGUAAAAGUCCACAUGAUAUGCGUGGGAAAUCAAUCCCAGGUAAUACCAAAUCAGGGUUGGUAAUAUAUGCUAUUAAGCAGCAUAUAUCCUCUUUUCCAGUUAAAAUAUCACACUACAGUAGCAAAGAAUACCACUACUUAAGCGAGAAGCUAGACGUCAAGAUCAUGUACUCGCUCUUCCAAGAGAAGUACCCUGAAAUGUCAGCUGCAAACUAUCGCUUCUAUCUGAAAGUUUUCAGAGAGCAUUUUUCUCUGUCGUUUGGACUACCCCAGGUAGAUACAUGUGCGACUUGUGAGGAGUUGGAUAUAAAACUUAAAAGCCCCUUUUUAAACCAAAAAGCAAAGAAAGUAGCUGAAGCAGAAAAAUGUGUGCAUUUGCGUCGGGCUAAGAAAUUUUCAGCUAAAAUAAAGGAAAUCAGCGAGAUAAUCAAAGCUGAUAAAGCGGGUGAUUUGGGAGCCAUUUGCAUAGAUUUCAUGCAGAAUUUACAGUUGCCUUGCAUUCCAGUCCAGGAGGUGUUUUACCUUAGACAGUUAACCAUCAGUGUUUUCUGCAUACAUAAUCUCAAAGAUGGCAAUGCAACUUUCUUUGUGUACCAUGAGGGAAUUGCAACAAAGGGGCCUAAUGAGGUAUGUUCAUUUGUUUUGGAGUUCUUGAAUACGUCAUUGAAGGGAGUCAAAGAGUUGUACAUAUUUUCUGAUAGGUGCAGCGCACAAAAUAAGAACCAUACAUUCAUCAGAAUGUUGUCUGCUUUGACUUCUCUUAAACGUUUUAGACAUAUCGAACAUUACUUCCCAAUAAGAGGACACUCUUUCCUGCCCUGCGAUAGGGAUUUCUCAGUACUCAAGAGAAAAAUCAAGAAGUACGACAGAGUGUACACCAUCAAGGAGUAUAUUGAGAUAAUUGUAACUUCAUCCUGCAAGAGAUCCUUCACGGUUGUAAUAGCAGAUUCCAUCAGCAUUCUCGACUUCAAGCAAUGGUGGCCCAAGUAUUUUAAGAGGAAUGUGCUGUCACAAGAGUCCUAUGAAAAAUCUGUGCCUAGAGACCAGAAAACAAGCUUCAAACCAAGUCAGUUCAUGCACUUCGGUUAUGCAAGUGACAAUGCUGGACUUGUUGUGGCACGACCAUUUAUUGAUUCCCUUGUCAAGCACCAUUUUAGGGUUCUCAAUUGCACACUUGCGGACCUUGUUCUUCCAAAAAACAUGGUGUAUCCUGCAGGUUGCAUCCCUAUCAACCAGAACAAAAUAGAUGACCUCCGCAAGUUGCAAAACUACUUGCCACACACAGAAGAUUGCCAGUCAUUCUAUAAUGAAUUAUUCUUGUGGCCAACAUGUGUAACUGAAGUAACGCAAAACCAGCCUGAUGAUUAAUCACAUCAAUGUAGACUUUACCGCACAUCAUCAGCAAAUAGUUCAUUUUGAAGAGGGACGUGUGCAUACUUAUUUGUAUUAAAAAGUGAUCUCUCAAUGUUAAAGUUGGUGUAGGCCGCAUAUACAAAGGUAGAUCUAAAAACCUACAUCGUAUAGACUUUCUCAUAUCAGCAAGAUUAGUUCAUUAGGGACUGAAUGCAUUUAUAUUCAUAUAAUUAUAGGUAUUUUUUAUGUUCUAAGCAAAUUUAUAGUAUUACUUUGUGUACGCAAAUAAAUAUUAUGUUUUGUGGAA